UACAGAGGGGGCAAGCGUUAUUCGGAAUUAUUGGGCGUAAAGGGCGCGUAGGCGGCGAUUCAAGUGGCGGGGGAAAUCCCAAGGCUCAACCUUGGAACUGCAUCCGAUACUGCUGGACUUGAGGCAGGUAGGGGAAGGUGGAAUUCCCGGUGUAGCGGUGGAAUGCGCAGAUAUCGGGAGGAACACCGGUGGCGAAGGCGGCCUCCUGGGAUAACACUGACGCUCAUGCACGAAAGCGUGGGGAGCAAACAGG
rnacentral:rRNA from 1 species